rnacentral:lncRNA from 1 species
UCAUUCAACAUUAAAGAUCCAUUGCAAGCCUAAAAAGUAAUUUAGUUCAUAAUUAAUGAAUUAAAAACUGAAUAAAUGAAAGAACUCAUCAUUCCAAUUACAAGACUAAAAUUAAAAAGAAUAAUAGUACUACACCACCCUUCUUAGCUUUCAAGUCUGCAAUUUUCGUGAAAAUCCUCUCUUCCUUUGUUCCUCCAUGAUCUUCCUUCAAUUCUGUCUCACCCAAGUGUAAUUCAAUUGAUGGAUAAGUUCAGCACACUACUCAUUGGCAUAAGUUAAUUCAGCUGAACCAAAUCCAAUCCUAAUCCAUAUCAAUGUCAUUCCAUAUGCAUUCUAAUAAAAAUCAAACUUCUAUUUGCACCCAACAAGUUUUUAACUCAAAAUAUCCCAAUUACUAUGAAAUAACUACCUUGUCACACUCCUAACUUGACCCUAUUACAUAAAGAAGUCAUAGCUCCCAACACAACUCAAUAGCAUGCAAAAUAAAACAGCUCAGAUUUGUCACGCCUGACCGGCGCGCCCCGCGCCGAGUCCUUUGUUAAUGCGGCACGGCCCGCGCUAGUGUAGCAGUAGGUUCUCUCCAUGCAGCGCACCCCAAUCACUUAUUUCUUCCCAUUUGAACUCUUAACCAUCAUCAACCUAUUCUCCUGCACACAUAACAAAAAUCCAUCAAAAGCAACAUGAAAAAUCUCAAAAACUAACAAUAUUCAAGUUAAACAAGGUUAAAUCGUAGGUGAAAAACCUACUCAUCAUUUUCCUUCUACAUUUUUGUAAUGUUUUUUUUUAAAAACUUCUAUUAUAUUGCACAGGGUAGUUAUAGAGUUCAUAAUUACAAGGUGUA